UACGUAGGGUGCGAGCGUUGUCCGGAAUUACUGGGCGUAAAGAGCUCGUAGGUGGUUUGUCGCGUUGUUCGUGAAAUCUCACGGCUUAACUGUGAGCGUGCGGGCGAUACGGGCAGACUGGAGUACUGCAGGGGAGACUGGAAUUCCUGGUGUAGCGGUGGAAUGCGCAGAUAUCAGGAGGAACACCGGUGGCGAAGGCGGGUCUCUGGGCAGUAACUGACGCUGAGAAGCGAAAGCAUGGGGAGCGAACAGG
rnacentral:rRNA from 1 species